UACGAAGGGGGCUAGCGUUGUUCGGAAUUACUGGGCGUAAAGCGCGCGCAGGCGGUCUUCCAAGUCAGUGGUGAAAGCCCGGAGCUCAACUCCGGAAUUGCCAUUGAAACUGUUGGACUUGAGGAUGAGAGAGGUGAGUGGAAUUCCCAGUGUAGAGGUGAAAUUCGUAGAUAUUGGGAAGAACACCGGUGGCGAAGGCGGCUCACUGGCUCAUUACUGACGCGUCAGGCG
rnacentral:rRNA from 1 species